rnacentral:rRNA from 1 species
UAGGUAACCUGCCUGGUAGCGGGGGAUAACUAUUGGAAACGAUAGCUAAUACCGCAUAAUAGUAGAUGUUGCAUGACAUUUGCUUAAAAGGUGCAAUUGCAUCACUACCAGAUGGACCUGCGUUGUAUUAGCUAGUUGGUGGGGUAACGGCUCACCAAGGCAACGAUACAUAGCCGACCUGAGAGGGUGAUCGGCCACACUGGGACUGAGACACGGCCCAGACUCCUACGGGAGGCAGCAGUAGGGAAUCUUCGGCAAUGGACGGAAGUCUGACCGAGCAACGCCGCGUGAGUGAAGAAGGUUUUCGGAUCGUAAAGCUCUGUUGUAAGAGAAGAACGAGUGUGAGAGUGGAAAGUUCACACUGUGACGGUAUCUUACCAGAAAGGGACGGCUAACUACGUGCCAGCAGCCGCGGUAAUACGUAGGUCCCGAGCGUUGUCCGGAUUUAUUGGGCGUAAAGCGCGCGCAGGCGGCAUGGAAAGUUGGACGUGAAAACUCCUGGCUUAACUGGGAGAGGUCGUACAAAACUACCAAGCUAGAGGUUGGAAGAGGAGAGUGGAAUUCCCGGUGUAGUGGUGGAAUGCGUAGAUAUCGGGAGGAACACCAGUGGUGAAAACGGCUCUCUGGUCCAAUACUGACGCUGAGGUGCGAAAGCGUGGGGAGCGAACGGGAUUAGAUACCCCGGUAGUCCACGCUGUAAACGAUGGAUACUAGGUGUAGGCGGUCAUUUACCCCGCCUGUGCCGAAGCUAACGCGUUAAGUAUUCCGCCUGGGGGACUACGCC